UUUUUUUUAACAAUGUAUAUGUUAUGAUAAAAGUGAUAACUAGCAAUUAUGUAUAAUCGUUGGAUUAAUUAUGUAUGAUCAUCAACAAUUUCAGUAAGUGAUAAAUUUUUUUCGUAUAUUGCAAAUUUAUCACAUUUACUGGUGAUUAUGGAUACUUGCUGCUUUGGGGAUCCUGUCUGAGAUGUCAGGUGAAUGGUGACAGGUGUCAGGCCUUACUGUGGUUGCACGGCACGUUUGUGGGUUAGGUUGAGUAAGGAGGCUAUACUCUGCGAAUCAGAGACUACAGUCUUGACAACAUUAAACUUCCAUUUAUUUAACAUAAAAGUCGAUACGAGAGUCCUUUACAGAGUUCCCGACAAUUAUGAGAGGAUCAUACCUUAUUACAAAUCAAGUUUUACAGCCAGAGUUCUGACAAAUAGGAAAUUGGCUUUGGUUCUUGUUCUUUGGAGGACAAAUUAUUUGAUGGAUGGUUAGACGGCAUAUCGGUCGAUUCCUUACUACAGUUAAUGUCCCUGGUUGGAAUUAAGUAUUGAAUCACAAAUGUUUUCGGUCAGAAAUGGAUUCAGUAAACAUAUAAUCAGUCCUUUGCUAAACCUUUUGUUUCUGAUGAUAUCUGCCCUUUUUCCUUUACAGUUGUAGAAACUGUUUUUGAUCUUUGUUCCUUUUUCUUUGUUGGCAUUGGCACUAAGUAGGUUUCUUUAUCUGUAAUUGACUUUGAUUCUGAGUUCUCUAGUCCUCUUUCCCUAGUACAUCUUCUUUUUCCAAACCUUUUUAGUUUGAUGGCUUUUCCCGUCAUCUUUAGUCCAACCCCCAAGAAAGUUCUCAUGAUCACCUUUUAUAUCAGCUCCAGUGACUUAAACUUACCCCUCCAUUGAAGAAAAACGAGAUCAUUAUUUAGAACAUUUGUUUUAGCAUGACAUCUGUGU
rnacentral:lncRNA from 1 species